UAGCUUGAUUCCAACUAAUAAAUUAUAAUAACAAUAUAACCUCAUGAAAACCCAAGAAAUAACUCAAAGUUUAAAAAUUUGUAUAACAUUUUUGUAUUAUCAAAUUAACAAUGGACAACCCUACUCAAUUCGUUAAAGCAAGAAGUGGUAAUUGUUAAUAAGCCGGCUAAAUUCGUGCCAGCAGCCGCGGUUAUACGAUAGGCCAAUUAAUUUUCCCAGUUUUAUUAAGAUACCAUAAAAUUAAUUAUAAGUUAAAUUUUAUAUAAUUAGAACCGCUAUUACCUGCAUUAAAUUAUUAACUAAAACAAGGAUUAGAUACCCUUCUAUUAAUAACCAUAAAAAUUAAACUAGAUAAUACGAACCAUAGUUUAAAAUCUAAAGAAUUUGGCGGUGACCCAUAAAAUCAGGGGAACCUGUUUAUUAAAUCGAUAACCCACGUAAUGAGAAACCUAAAUUUGAACAUCAACAUGUGUACUGCCGUUGAAAAUAUACCUUUAUAGAGAGUAUAUAAAAAAAGACUACUUCUAACAUCAGGUCAAAGUGCAGUUUAUAUAUUAGGAUUAAAUGGGUUACAAUCUUUACAUGCCUCUAGAGCCCUUUAUUAAAUUACAGGAUAAAAUUGGACUUGACAGUAAUUUAAAUUAACUUAUUUAAAUGAAAAUUACCUGGGUCAUGCACACAUCGCCCGUCACUCCCUCUAUAAAAGAGGGAUAAGUCGUAACAAAGUAGAUAUAAUGGAAAUUGUAUCUGG
rnacentral:ncRNA from 1 species